UACGGAGGGUGCAAGCGUUGUUCGGAAUUACUGGGCGUAAAGAGCGUGUAGGUGGUCGAGUAAGUCGAAUGUGAAAGCCCCGGGCUCAACCCGGGAAGUGCAUCCGAAACUGCUCGACUAGAGUCCCGGAGAGGAAGGCAGAAUUCCCAAUGUAGGGGUGAAAUCCGUAGAUAUUGGGAGGAAUACCGGUGGCGAAGGCGGCCUUCUGGACGGUGACUGACACUGAGACGCGAAAGCGUGGGGAGCAAACAGG
rnacentral:rRNA from 1 species